rnacentral:rRNA from 1 species
AGCUCCAAUAGCGUAUAUUAAAGUUGUUGCAGUUAAAACGCUCGUAGUCGGAUUUCGGGGCGGGCCUGCCGGUUUGCCGAUGGGUAUAUACUGGUGGGUGCGUCCUUCCUUCCGGAGACCGCGCCUCCUCUUAACUGAGCGGGCGUGGGAGACGGAUCGUUUACUUUGAAAAAAUCAGAGUGUUUCAAGCAGGCAUUUCGCUUUUGCAUGGAUUAGCAUGGGAUAAUGAAAUAGGACUUUGGUGCUAUUUUGUUGGUUUCGAGCACCGAAGUAAUGAUUAACAGGGACAGUCAGGGGCACUCGUAUUCCGCAGAGAGAGGUGAAAUUCUCAGACCCGCGGAAGACGAACCACUGCGAAAGCAUUUGCCAGGGAUGUUUUCACUG